GAUGAACGCUGGCGGCGUGCUUAACACAUGCAAGUCGAACGGAAAGGCUCCUGCUUGUUGGGGUACUCGAGUGGCGAACGGGUGCGUAACACGUGGGUGACCUGCUCUGCAUUUCGGGAUAAGCUUGGGAAACUGGGCUUAAUCCAGUAUAGGAUGCUGCCUUGGAUGCCAAUGUGGGAAGUUUUGUGGUGUGGGCUGAGGUAGCGGCCUAUCAGCUUGUUGGUGGGGUACUGGGCUACGAAGGGGCAGACGGAUAGCCGGCCUGUGGGGGGGGACGGCCACAUUGGUACUGAGAUACGGCGCAGACUGCAACGGGGGGCAACGGUGGGGAAUAUGGCACAAUGGGACCGGGCCGGAUGCAGCGGCGCCGCGUGUGGAAUGACGGCCUGUGGGUUGUAAACUGCUUUCGCUUGAGACGAAGCGCAAGUGACGGUACCUGAAGAAGAAGCACCGGCUAACUACGUG
rnacentral:rRNA from 1 species